CCCAAUUAAACAUGAAUUUAAAUUGUAUAUUAAAUACAAAAGUAAAUUGAUAUAAAAUUCUAUAGGGUCUUAUCGUCCCGAUAAAAAAAAUUUUUUAACAUUUUUAUUAAAAUUUCAAAUUCAUAAUUUAUAUGUGAGACAGUAUAUAUUUGAUUAACCUU